GCUGGACACAGUGACAUGUACCUGUAGUCCCAGCAACCAGGCUGAGGUAGGGGGAAUCGCUUGAAUCCAGGAGUUCUGGGCUGUAGUGUGCUGUGCUCAUCAGAUAUGUGCACUAAGUUCAGCAUCAACAUGGUGACCUCCCAGGAGUGGAGGUAGAGGGAGGCCACCAGGUUGCCUAAGGAGGGAGUCCAACCCAGGUUGGAAACAGAGCAGGUCAAAAGUCCCAUGCUGAUAAGUAGUGGGAUCGCACCUGUGAAUAGCCACUGCACUCCAGCCUGGGCAACAUAGUAAGAACUCCACUUCU
rfam:Otolemur garnettii contig128713, whole genome shotgun sequence.